CACUCACCAUCUGCCCUGUGGAUAAUCUUGCCAGAGCCACACCUGACCCAGAGCCCAGCUCACCAACUCCCCGUGGUACGGAGCAUCAGCCUGAGCCCACAGAUGAUGGAGAGCCAUUUCCCACCACGAUCCAUGAGCUAGAGCAAGGCCAAGUGACUGAGCAAAGGAUCGCCCCGGAAGUUGAGCCCAACCCAUCAGACCAGGUGCAAGAGCCGGCGACAGUGCCCACCACGAGGGAGCAAGUCCUGGAUGGUGUGAGCACGGAGAGGAGCUCCGCCCCCUGUAUCAUGGCUUAGGGUGAGCUGAGCACUGUGUGGCAAAAGGGCCAAAAUGAGGAGGAGGAUCUCAUUGACUGGGAAUCUGAUCUGGAGAUUGAACUGCUCCCUCUCUUCUCUCCACUGGUCCCGUCCAGCCCUCGUUCAUCCAUGCUUCCCUCGUCCAGCCCUGAGGGGUAGGAGUCUCCCUCACCUCCGCUUCCAGCCUCCGAGGCCCGGACUCCACCUCAGCCCGCAGACCCAGCGGAUCCACCUCGGCUCCUAGCUUCCUCGCCUCCAUCAUCCAUCGAUCCAUCAUCUCCACCAGGCUCCCUCAUCCCUCCGGCUCCACCUUGGUCAGAUGUCGACCCACCAUCGUGCUUCGUUGGGCUCGGCUGCCAUUCUUCCUCCAUGGCUCCUUCCCCCAUUGGCUCCACGGUGGGUCGACAUUAUGACUGUGGCCUGGGUCCCGCUGGGCUCCUCCUGCUCCAAGCAUCACCUGUCUCCUCCCUGGACUCUGUCUGGCGGGCCCCUCCUGGGUGUCCAUCCUCCUCCUGAGUCUCCUCCCUGGUUCGCAUCCAUUCCCCUCUCCAUGUUGUUUCAAUGGUGUGAGGACGCACCUACUGGGAGGGGGUAGUAAUGUCAUGCCCCUGGACUUAUUUUGUUGUGUUUUCCCUCCCCAUGUGUUCCGUGUUCCGUGUCCCAUGUUAAUUGUUUCAUUCUAUGCACCUGUGUUUAGUAAUUAUCUCUAGUAUUUAAGUUCCUGUCUUUGCGUCUCUCCUCUGUCAGGUCCACUUCAUCCAUACCU
ensembl:lncRNA